rnacentral:rRNA from 1 species
GACGAACGCUGGCGGCGUGCCUAAUACAUGCAAGUAGAACGCUGAAGGAGGAGCUUGCUUCUCUGGAUGAGUUGCGAACGGGUGAGUAACGCGUAGGUAACCUGCCUGGUAGCGGGGAUAACUAUUGGAAACGAUAGCUAAUACCGCAUAAUAGUAGAUGUUGCAUGACAUUUGCUUAAAAGGUGCAAUUGCAUCACUACCAGAUGGACCUGCGUUGUAUUAGCUAGUUGGUGAGGUAACGGCUCACCAAGGCGACGAUACAUAGCCGACCUGAGAGGGUGAUAGGCCACACUGGGACUGAGACACGGCCCCGACUCCUACGGGAGGCAGCCGGAGGGAAUUUUUGGCAAAUGGACGGAGGUUGACCCGGGCACGGCGGGUGAGUGAAGGAGGUUUUCGGAUCGUAAAGCUCUGUUGUAAGAGAAGAACGAGUGUGAGAGUGGAAAGUUCACACUGUGACGGUAUCUUACCAGAAAGGGACGGCUAACUACGUG